UCAAUAAGCGGAGGAAAAUGAAACCAGCAGGGAUGCCGUAACGGCGAGUGAAGCGGCAACAGCUCAAAUUUGAAAUCUGGCGUCUUUGGCGUCCGAGUUGUAAUUUGCAGAGGGCGCUUUGGCGUUGGCAGCGGUCCAAGUUCCUUGGAACAGGACGUCACAGAGGGUGAGAAUCCCGUACGUGGUCGCUGGCCUUCGCCGUGUAAAGCCCCUUCGACGAGUCGAGUUGUUUGGGAAUGCAGCUCUAAAUGGGAGGUAAAUUUCUUCUAAAGCUAAAUACUGGCCAGAGACCGAUAGCGCACAAGUAGAGUGAUCGAAAGAUGAAAAGCACUUUGGAAAGAGAGUCAAACAGCACGUGAAAUUGUUAAAAGGGAAGCGCUUGCAACCAGACUUGCCUGCAGUUGCUCAUCUGGACUUUUGUCCAGUGCAUUCUUCUGUAGGCAGGCCAGCAUCAGUUUGGGCGGUUAGAUAAAGGUCUCUGUCAUGUACCUCUCUUCGGGGAGAACUUAUAGGGGAGACGACAUGUAACCAGCCUGGACUGAGGUCCGCGCAUUUGCUAGGAUGCUGGCGUAAUGGUUGUAAGCGGCCCGUCUUGAAACACGGACCAAGGAGUCUAACAUCUAUGCGAGUGUUUGGGUGUCAAGCCCGAACGCGUAAUGAAAGUGAACGGAGGUGGGAACCCGCAAGGGUGCACCAUCGACCGAUCCUGAUGUCUUCGGAUGGAUCUGAGUAAGAGCAUAGCUGUUGGGACCCGAAAGAUGGUGAACUAUGCUUGAAUAGGGUGAAGCCAGAGGAAACUCUGGUGGAGGCUCGCAGCGGUUCUGACGUGCAAAUCGAUCGUCAAAUUUGGGCAUAGGGGAACGACUAGUCUAACUAUCUACGUAGCUGGUUCCUGCU
rnacentral:rRNA from 1 species